rnacentral:rRNA from 1 species
CAAUAGCGUAUAUUUAAGUUGUUGCAGUUAAAAAGCUCGUAGUCGGAUUUUGGCUGAGAACGAACGGUCCGCCGUUAGGUGUGCACUGUUUGGUCUCAGCUUCCUGGUGAGGAGGUGUGCUUCACGGCCACUUAGUCACCGUGGUUACUUUGAAAAAAUUAGAGUGUUCAAAGCGGGCUUACGCUUGAAUAUAUUAGCAUGGAAUAACACCAUAGGACUCCUGUCCUAUUUCGUUGGUCUCGGGACGGGAGUAAUGAUUAAGAGGAACAGUUGGGGGCAUUCGUAUUUCAUUGUCAGAGGUGAAAUUCUUGGAUUUAUGAAAGACGAACUUCUGCGAAAGUAUUUGCCAAGGAUGUUUUCAUUGA